CCUACGGGUGGCAGCAGUGGGGAAUAUUGGACAAUGGGCGAAAGCCUGAUCCAGCCAUGCCGCGUGUGUGAAGAAGGCCUUCGGGUUGUAAAGCACUUUCAGUGGGGAAGAAAGCCUUGGGGCUAAUACCCUCGAGGAAGGACAUCACCCACAGAAGAAGCACCGGCUAACUCCGUGCCAGCAGCCGCGGUAAUACGGAGGGUGCGAGCGUUAAUCGGAAUUACUGGGCGUAAAGCGCGCGUAGGCGGUCUGAUAAGCCGGUUGUGAAAGCCCCGGGCUCAACCUGGGAACGGCAUCCGGAACUGUCAGGCUAGAGUGCAGGAGAGGAAGGUAGAAUUCCCGGUGUAGCAGUGAAAUGCGUAGAGAUCGGGAGGAAUACCAGUGGCGAAGGCGGCCUUCUGGACUGAUACUGACGCUGAGGUGCGAAAGCGUGGGUAGCAAACAGGAUUAGAUACCCUGGUAGUC
rnacentral:rRNA from 1 species